rnacentral:ncRNA from 2 species
GCGUGCAGCUGCGACUGGCGAGGGUGGAGUGACCACCGGGAAGCGGCUUGGAUCCGAUGCGAGCGUCGACCGCCUGGGCGCUUCCG